rnacentral:rRNA from 1 species
CCUACGGGUGGCAGCAGUGGGGAAUAUUGCGCAAUGGGCGAAAGCCUGACGCAGCGACGCCGCGUGAGGGAUGAAGGUCUUCGGAUCGUAAACCUCUGUCAGCAGGGAAGAACGGUCACUGUGCUAAUCAGCAGUGAAUUGACGGUACCUGCAAAGGAAGCACCGGCUAACUCCGUGCCAGCAGCCGCGGUAAUACGGAGGGUGCGGGCGUUAAUCGGAAUUAAUGGGCGUAAAGCGCUCGUAGGCGGUAUGUCAAGUCAAGGGUGAAAUCCCCGCGCUCAACGUGGGAACGGCCUUUGAAACUGGCAACCUGGAGUGUGUGAGAGGAUAGUGGAAUGCCAGGUGUAGGAGUGAAAUCCGUAGAUAUCUGGAGGAACAUCAGUGGCGAAGGCGACUAUCUGGCACAUAACUGACGCUGAGGAGCGAAAGCGUGGGUAGCAAACAGGAUUAGAUACCCGGGUAGUC